GUGCCAGCCGCCGCGGUAAUACGUAGGUGGCAAGCGUUGUCCGGAUUUAUUGGGCGUAAAGCGAGCGCAGGCGGUUUCUUAAGUCUGAUGUGAAAGCCCCCGGCUCAACCGGGGAGGGUCGUUGGAAACUGGGAGACUUGAGUGCAGAAGAGGAGAGUGGAAUUCCAUGUGUAGCGGUGAAAUGCGUAGAUAUAUGGAGGAACACCAGUGGCGAAGGCGGCUCUCUGGUCUGUAACUGACGCUGAGGCUCGAAAGCGUGGGGAGCGAACAGGAUUAGAUACCCUGGUAGUCCACGCCGUAAACGAUGAGUGCUAAGUGUUGGAGGGUUUCCGCCCUUCAGUGCUGCAGCAAACGCAUUAAGCACUCCGCCUGGGGAGUACGACCGCAAGGUUGAAACUCAAAGGAAUUGACGGGGGCCCGCACAAGCGGUGGAGCAUGUGGUUUAAUUCGAAGCAACGCGAAGAGCCUUACCAGGUCUUGACAUCCUUUGACCACUCUAGAGAUAGAGCUUCCCCUUCGGGGGCAAAGUGACAGGUGGUGCAUGGUUGUCGUCAGCUCGUGUCGUGAGAUGUUGGGUUAAGUCCCGCAACGAGCGCAACCCUUAUUGUUAGUUGCCAUCAUUUAGUUGGGCACUCUAGCGAGACUGCCGGUGACAAACCGGAGGAAGGUGGGGAUGACGUCAAAUCAUCAUGCCC
rnacentral:rRNA from 1 species